AUUGAACGCUGGCGGCAGGCCUAACACAUGCAAGUCGAGCGGAUGAAGGGAGCUUGCUCCUGGAUUCAGCGGCGGACGGGUGAGUAAUGCCUAGGAAUCUGCCUGGUAGUGGGGGAUAACGUCCGGAAACGGGCGCUAAUACCGCAUACGUCCUGAGGGAGAAAGUGGGGGAUCUUCGGACCUCACGCUAUCAGAUGAGCCUAGGUCGGAUUAGCUAGUUGGUGGGGUAAAGGCCUACCAAGGCGACGAUCCGUAACUGGUCUGAGAGGAUGAUCAGUCACACUAGAACUGAGACACGGUCCAGGCUCCUACGGGAGGCAGCAGUGGGGAAUAGUGGACAAUGGGCGAAAGCCUGGUCCAGCCAUGCCGCGUGUGUGAAGAAGGUCUUCGGAUUGUAAAGCACUUUAAGUUGGGAGGAAGGGCAGUAAGUUAAUACCUUGCUGUUUUGACGUUACCAACAGAAUAAGCACCGGCUAACUUCGUG
rnacentral:rRNA from 1 species